GCGCUCGUAACACAAAGGAUAGUGUGCUGCCCUGCGAAGGCAGAUAUCCAGGUUCGAUUCCUGGCGAGCGCA
rfam:Elusimicrobia bacterium GWA2_66_18 gwa2_scaffold_15233, whole genome shotgun sequence.